AACAAUUAGACCUACCCCCCCGAAGACCAUCUCGCAAAUCUAAAGCAACAUCGACAUUGAGCUUAAAAAAACCAACAUGAGGAGGACGCCAAUGUUGGUUCGAAAUGGGCAAAGAAAUACACUUAUGAAGUAGUAACUGUGAUUGAUGAUAUCCCACAACAUAGUUUAUUUGUACCACAUUUGACCCGCCACUCACGCUAUGACACGUGGAAAGAGCACAACACUAAGGAAGACCCUAUGACCCACACUAGCAAACCAAGUGGUAUGGAUCGGUAGGUACCUUCGGUACCCACCACUGAUCCAGCGUCCAAACGUAGCCCUGUGACCUUGCUGGCAAGGUCGGUCCAACAAACGACAGGUGCUUUCGACUAUAUCCUCCGAUAGGUCGUCUUAUAUAUACGUCUGGUAAGCCUUGCCAAUUUUGCGCCUUGGAAAGGGGAUCUUACGAGAUAACCUCGAACCCCUCGC
rnacentral:lncRNA from 1 species